rnacentral:lncRNA from 1 species
GGCCAAGUCCUUAGCUUUUGGCUAAAUACUAACUGUUCAAAGUUGAUGCCUCAUGAAGGCACUGAUAACACUCCUACCCUGUGCAUGGUUAUGAUCUGUGGAUAUUCCCAGUGCUGGUCUAUUUUUCCCCAAAUCUUCAACCAACCUAAAUUCCACCAAAUUUUGAUUGCCUCAGAAAUAUUUCAGGAGCUUUUCUGUUCACUUCCUGGAUGUUAUUUUCAAAUCCUCGGUGGUAAAGGGAAUGGAGGCCAAUGA